ensembl:lncRNA
AUGAGUAGACUGUCUGAUACAGAGACUGUUGAGGACAGAGAAGGUCCUGAAAAUAACAAUGCACAGACCAAGAAAAGGAAGAGAGAAGGACUUCAGGGUGCUGAGCAGGAUGGAGAAAGUUUGAGCAAGAAAGGUGAAGAAGAGCAGACACCAUCAAGGGAAGAAGACAGGGACAGUACAGAUGGUAGAGACAUGUAUAUAUUGUCUGAUCUAGAGACUGUUGAGAACAGAGAAGGUCCCGAAAUAAACAAUACACAGACCCAAAAAAAUAAGAGAGAAGGAUUUCAGGCUACUGAGCAGGAUGGAGAAAGUUUGAGCAAGAAAGGUGAAGAAGAGCAGACACCAUCAAGUGAAGAAGACAGGGACAAUGCAGAUGAAGAAAUAUAUAUUAUUCAGACUGACAGCGACAGUGUAAAAGAGAGCAGAGAGGAAUGUCAGGAGACUGUGGACCAGACUAAGCAAAAAAGGAAAAGGAAAGGAAAAGAAUCAAAAUGCACUAAAUCAGAUCAACAAACAGGCUACAGAAGGUGCAAAGCAGGGCCAAAAAUGUUCAGAAUUACAAUCACUAGAAAACAAUGGAACAAAUUAAAACCAAAACAUGGGCAGGAACGUCUACGUCCUCCAUGGACUGAUGUACUGUAUGAUGAAUUUUUAAAAGAAAAUCCAUCUUGUACACUUGCUUUCAAGUAUCAGCAUGUGAAGAGAAGUUACAGCCGUAAAAUAAAAUCCCCAUUUUUCCGUGCCUCAGCACGCUGUACAUUUGAAGGAUGCAAGGCUGUCUACAGUUUUUCAAAAAAAAGCAGCCCAAAAUCAACGGAUAAAAGAAUAUGUUUUAAAGUUUUGCGCUUUGGUGAAGUCAGACACCGUAACAACCAAAGAAAAUUUAGGCCAGCCAAAUACCUACGAAGAGGAAAGAUUGCUAAAGCUGUAAGCAAUGGUGUCAGCAAUUAUUAUUACAGCAUGUUAAAAAACACACCUGUGGAAGAGAUCAUGGCUGGUAAUUUCACCAGAAGCCUCACCAAGGAUGUCUUAAAGACAAUUUCAUCUGAGGUUAAAAAGAGUGCAAGGCUCCAUGAUGAUGUAAUGCUUGAACUCAUGCUUACACAAAAGGUCAUUAAAGAGAGCAGCAGUCAUGCAUCCUCAAAAGGCUAUCUUCAGCGCCUGCAAAUUGAUCCUUUUGCUGUACAUUUACAAACUGAUACUGGAAUCAAUAUUUUAGCUCAACAUUUAAAACAAACACCAACAGCCCUCUACCUUGAUGCUACAGGUGGUGUGGUGCAGAAAAUUCCUGACCAAAACAAAAGGGUACUGUAUUAUGCUCUAGUUUUGCCAGGCAUGGGCAAGGAUAAGCCUCCUUUGCCCGUCACAGAACUCAUAACCAACAGCCAUUCCAUUCCAUCCAUUUCCUAUUGGCUAAUGGAAUUCCAGAGGAAGUUGUCACAUACAACAAAAAGACGAAUAACACAGGUUGAGACUGAUUAUAGUUGGGCUCUAAUUAACAGCGUGCUUCUGUCCUUCAACAAGGAGAAUAUUUCAAUGUACCUCAUCAGAGCAUUUGGAAUAGUGUCUGGACAAAGUGAACAGAUUCCCAAGUUCACUGUGCUGCAUCUGUGCUCUGCACAUAUCAUGAAGGCUGUGUCACAAGCAUUUGGCAGGAAAACAGAAGACAGAGGCAUACAAGAAUAUGCAACAUUCAGUUUUGCUUACCUCCUGAACUGCACAAGUAUGCAGGUGGCCCAUGAGGUUUUUUAUCAUAUGUGUGUGCUUUUUGAUGCAGAGGAGUACACUCAUUUGGUGAAACAGAGCAAAACAUACCUCGACAAGUGUGUUUUGAAAAUCCAGGACAUAAAGCUGGAAGAAAGUGGACAUGUGAUGGGAGAGGAGGAAAGCAACACUGAGAAAUCUGCUAACAGUGCUGUUGGAAAGUCACCUUUUACGCAUGCUUUUCAAGCCAGGCGUGACCAAGCACAGUGUGACAUCCUAACAGAAGAUCCUGUUGGCAUUGGCAUAAACAACCAUUACCUCUGUCCUGGUGUCAUCAAUGUGCUGUUUAAAAACUAUAUGGGAAUUUUCCCAUUGUGGGGUGGUUUGUUGCUUGGGGAUCUGUCACGGCAUGGAAAAUGCACAACCAUCGAAACAAAUGGAAGAGAAAAAACCAGGGAUACCAACUGCCAUGUUGAACUCUGGUUUGGUUUGGUCAAACACUCUAUCUUGUUAAAAAAAAAGUACCUGAGACCUGCAGAGUUCAUAUCCAAAAUGUUUGCCUCAAUGCAGGGAAGAUAUGUAGAGCACGUUGAGCAACAUAAUCUGCCAAUUCAGAUUCUGGAUAAAACAGUCACAAGUUCUCGCAGGCCAGAUGAUGACCAUGAAGAACAGUGGAAGAAGCGGGACAGCUCUACAGGUCAGUCCAAGUCCAAGUCCAAGUACUUCAAUCCACCAGAAAAACUACCAAACCCCAGGAGCCUACAUGCCAAAGAAGUGAAGAAAAGAAAAGAGGCUCAGGAUCAACAAGUUAAAGAUGCACAGUUAACAUUACUGUGGAAAAAGAGGGACACAGAAAUGGUUGUUGCACUACUCCCUUCACAGAUUAAGGGGCGCAGCAUCCUUAUUCACCAUAGUGAGCUAUGCUCACUUCGACCAUACCAGUGGUUGACAGGGGAGGUUAUUGAGGGCCUGUUUCAUGUUGCUGCCCACACAUUCAAUGUGGUGGACACCGUCUACAUUAUGAAUCACUACUCAGCAGGUGGGAUUUUGUUCAGUGACAGAACUGAACUACCUCGUCACAGUUUACCAAAGGUAAACUUUGACAACUAUGAAGCUGUUCUGUCAUUUGUGCUAGUCAACGGCAACCACUGGAACUUACUGUACAUUAAUGCAGAAACCAGCACAGUAUUUCUGAUGGAUCCAGCACGAUUGUCAUCAGAGCUUGAGGACUCUGAACAUGCUGCUAAAAGAAUACAGGAAUACUUAAGGAUGCGGAGGACACGCCAUGGCAAAGAAGACUGGUUGGAUAUUAGGUGGAAAGGGGGAGUUAUGAGCCACCCAGUUCAACAGGAUGGAAGUAGCUGCGGUGUCAUUGUUGUCAAGAUGGCAAAAGCAGUGAUGGAGGCAUUUCCUCAGAUCCCAGAUGUUAAAUUUGAGACAUCCAAAAAGGCCAUGAAAAAGGAGAGGAGAGAUCUGGGCCCGUAUCUCUAAAGAAUUUUUGUGCAAAAAGUGGCUCCUAGCGGCCAAAUUC